rnacentral:rRNA from 1 species
UACGAAGGGGGCUAGCGUUGUUCGGAAUCACUGGGCGUAAAGGGCGCGUAGGCGGCCGAUCAAGUCGGGGGUGAAAGCCUGUGGCUCAACCACAGAAUUGCCUUCGAUACUGUUUGGCUUGAGACCGGAAGAGGUUAGUGGAACUGCGAGUGUAGAGGUGAAAUUCGUAGAUAUUCGCAAGAACACCAGUGGCGAAGGCGGCUGACUGGUCCGGGACUGACGCUGAGGCGCGGAAAAGCGUGGGGAGCGAACAGG